rnacentral:rRNA from 1 species
AGAGUUUGAUCAUGGCUCAGAAUCAACGCUGGCGGCGCGCUUAACACAUGCAAGUCGCACGAGAAAGCAGGAGCAAUCUUGUGAGUAAAGUGGCGUACGGGUGAGUAACACGUGGAUCAUCUACCUCUUGGUGGGGAAUAACCCUGGGAAACCGGGGCUAAUACCGCAUAAGCCUGCGAAGGGAAAGCAGCAAUGCGCCGAGAGAGGAGUCCGCGGCCGAUUAGCUAGUUGGCGGGGUAACGGCCCACCAAGGCGAAGAUCGGUAGCCGGCCUGAGAGGGCACACGGCCACACUGGCACUGAAACACGGGCCAGACUCCUACGGGAGGCAGCAGUGGGGAAUCUUGCACAAUGGAGGAAACUCUGAUGCAGCGACGCCGCGUGAGCGAUGAAGCCCCUCGGGGUGUAAAGCUCUUUCGACGGGAAAGAUAAUGACGGUACCCGAAGAAGAAGCUGCGGCUAACUACGUGCCAGCAGCCGCGGUAAUACGUAGGCAGCAAGCGUUGUUCGGAAUUACUGGGCGUAAAGAGUGUGUAGGCGGUGCUCUAAGUCUGUUGUGAAAUCUCCCGGCUUAACUGGGAGGGUGCGGCGGAGACUGGAGUGCUAGAGUGUGGGAGAGGUAAGCGGAAUUCCUGGUGUAGCGGUGAAAUGCGUAGAUAUCAGGAGGAACACCUGUGGUGUAGACAGCUUACUGGACCACGACUGACGCUGAGACACGAAAGCGUGGGUAGCAAACAGGAUUAGAUACCCUAGUAGUCC